AACGAACGCUGGCGGCAUGCCUAACACAUGCGAGUCGAACGAGACCUUCGGGUCUAGUGGCGCACGGGUGCGUAACGCGUGGGAACCUGCCCUUAGGUUCGGAAUAACUCCCCGAAAGGGGUGCUAAUACCGGAUAAUGUCUUCGGACCAAAGAUUUAUCGCCUUUGGAUGGGCCCGCGUUGGAUUAGCUAGUUGGUAGGGUAAAAGCCUACCAAGGCGACGAUCCAUAGCUGGUCUGAGAGGAUGAUCAGCCACACUGGGACUGAGACACGGCUCAGACUCCUACGGGAGGCAGCAGUGGGGAAUAUUGGACAAUGGGCGAAAGCCUGAUCCAGCAAUGCCGCGUGAGUGAUGAAGGCCUUAGGGUUGUAAAGCUCUUUUACCCGGGAUGAUAAUGACAGUACCGGGAGAAUAAGCUCCGGCUAACUCCGUG
rnacentral:rRNA from 1 species